AAACAAGUUAGACAACUAUCAAUUCUAUUCUAGCUCAAAUUGGUUAAUAUAACACCCAAAUCAGCUCUCUUCCCGCCGUCCUACGCGCCCAACGCUGAUCCUAGGCCAUUUUGAGCGCACCCCGCGCUACAGUUGCAGAAAAUCUGAUGGUCUGGCGCGCUCCGCACUAUGCAAUUUUCUACUGCGACGUCUUUUGGUAAAACAAGCAUAACUUUUGAUCCGGGAGGAGUUACGGGGCCUGCCAC
rnacentral:lncRNA from 1 species